GAAGAUAAUGGUAACUCCUUGUCCCUAAAACCGGAAGAUCAAAGUUCAGACACUGGACCUGCGAGAAAGUCUGCAGAAUCCUUUCCAGAUGUGAAAAUUGAUUCUAAAGCUUCCUCCUCUCCCUACCCAAAUUACCCAGAUAUGAAGCCACCAUCCUCCCCAACUCCAUCAAAGCCACAAUAGCGACAUUGUUGGGCCUCCAGCAUAUGAAGCCACCUCUUUCUUUCAUCCAUUAAAGCUUCAACAGUGAUUUUACAUGACAUUCUCAAUUGGCAUC